rnacentral:rRNA from 1 species
UACAGAGACUGCAAGCGUUAUUCGGAUUCACUGGGCGUAAAGGGUGCGCAGGCGGCCGAGUGUGUGAGGCGUGAAAGCCCGGGGCUUAACCCCGGAAUUGCACCUCAAACUACACGGCUAGAGCAUUGGAGAGGGUAGCAGAAUUCACGGUGUAGCAGUGAAAUGCGUAGAUAUCGUGAGGAAUACCGGUGGCGAAGGCGGCAUCCUGGACCGGCAUUGACGCUGAGGAGCGAAAGCUAGGGGAGCAAACGGG